rnacentral:rRNA from 1 species
UACGUAGGGGGCAAGCGUUGUCCGGAUUUAUUGGGCGUAAAGCGCGUGUAGGCGGCCAGGUAGGUCCGCUGUGAAAACCCGAGGCUCAACCUCGGGACGUCGGCGGAAACCAUCUGGCUAGAGUCCGGAAGAGGAGAGUGGAAUUCCCGGUGUAGCGGUGAAAUGCGUAGAUAUCGGGAGAACGCCGUGGCGAAGGCGGCUCC